AUGAGGGCCCCUGUGCAGCUCCUCAGCUUCCUGCUGCUCUGGCUCCCGGGUGUCAGGUGUGAUAUCCAGAUGACCCAGCCUCCAUUCCUGUCUGCAUCUCUGGGAGAGAAAGUAAUCAUCACCUGCAAGGCCAGUCAGGACAUUUACAGUAGUUUAAGCUGGUAUCAGCGGAAACCAGGGAAAUCUCCCAGGGUCCUCAUCUAUGGUGCAACCAGUUUACAACCAGGCGUUCCUCCUCGGUUCAGUGGCAGUGGAUCUGGGACAGAUUUCACUCUCACCAUCAGCAGCCUGAAUUCUGAGGAUUCUGCCACUUAUUACUGUCAACAGCAUAGUAGUUUCCCUCCCACAGUGAUACACACCAGAACAUAA